rnacentral:rRNA from 1 species
GAGUAACGCGUGGGUAACCUGCCCUAUACACAUGGAUAACAUACUGAAAGUUUACUAAUACAUGAUAAUAUAUAUUUACGGCAUCGUAGAUAUAUCAAAGUGUUAGCGGUAUAGGAUGGACCCGCGUCUGAUUAGCUAGUUGGUGAGAUAACUGCCCACCAAGGCGACGAUCAGUAGCCGACCUGAGAGGGUGAUCGGCCACAUUGGAACUGAGACACGGUCCAAACUCCUACGGGAGGCAGCAGGA